rnacentral:rRNA from 1 species
AUUGAACGCUGGCGGCAGGCCUAACACAUGCAAGUCGAACGAGUGGCGGACGGGUGAGUAAUGUCUGGGAAACUGCCUGAUGGAGGGGGAUAACUACUGGAAACGGUAGCUAAUACCGCAUACCAUCGGAGGGGCCCAGAUGGGAUUAGCUAGUAGGUGGGGUAAAGGCUCACCAAGGCGACGAUCCCUAGCUGGUCUGAGAGGAUGACCAUCCACACUGGAACUGAGACACGGUCCAUACUCCUACGGGAGUCCGCAGUGGGGAAUAUUGCACAAUGGUCGCAAGCCUGAUGCAGCCAUGCCGCGUGUAUGAAGAAGGCCUUCGGGUUGUAAAGUACUUUCAGCGGGGAGGCGUUACCCGCAGAAGAAGCACCGGCUAACUCCGUGCCAGCAGCCGCGGUAAUAC